AUUGAACGCUGGCGGAAUGCUUUACACAUGCAAGUCGAACGGCAGCACGGACUUCGGUCUGGUGGCGAGUGGCGAACGGGUGAGUAAUGUAUCGGAACGUGCCCAGUCGUGGGGGAUAACGUAGUGAAAAUUACGCUAAUACCGCAUACGAUCUAUGGAUGAAAGCGGGGGAUCGCAAGACCUCGCGCGAGUGGAGCGGCCGAUAGCAGAUUAGGUAGUUGGUGGGGUAAAGGCCCACCAAGCCAACGAUCUGUAGCUGGUCUGAGAGGACGACCAGCCACACUGGAACUGAGACACGGUCCAGACUCCUACGGGAGGCAGCAGUGGGGAAUUUUGGACAAUGGGCGAAGGCCUGAUCCAGCCAUUCCGCGUGCAGGAUGAAGGCCCUCGGGUUGUAAACUGCUUUUGUACAGAACGAAAAGGUUUCUACUAAUACUAGGAGCUCAUGACGGUACUGUAAGAAUAAGCACCGGCUAACUACGUGCCAGCCGCCGCUGUAA
rnacentral:rRNA from 1 species